rnacentral:rRNA from 1 species
UGGCGGCAGGCCUAACACAUGCAAGUCGAGCGGAAACGAGUUCACUGAACCUUCGGGGAACGUGAACGGCGUCGAGCGGCGGACGGGUGAGUAAUGCCUGGGAAAUUGCCCUGAUGUGGGGGAUAACCAUUGGAAACGAUGGCUAAUACCGCAUAAUAGCUUCGGCUCAAAGAGGGGGACCUUCGGGCCUCUCGCGUCAGGAUAUGCCCAGGUGGGAUUAGCUAGUUGGUGAGGUAAGGGCUCACCAAGGCAACGAUCCCUAGCUGGUCUGAGAGGAUGAUCAGCCACACUGGAACUGAGACACGGUCCAGACUCCUACGGGAGGCAGCAGUGGGGAAUAUUGCACAAUGGGCGCAAGCCUGAUGCAGCCAUGCCGCGUGUAUGAAGAAGGCCUUCGGGUUGUAAAGUACUUUCAGCAGUGAGGAAGGUUCAUGCGUUAAUAGCGUAUGGAUUUGACGUUAGCUGCAGAAGAAGCACCGGCUAACUCCGUGCCAGCAGCCGCGG